GCUUUGGUUCACGUGUUCGGGGUCCUCUCCAGUUCAAAUCGAAUAACGACAGUUCGUCGGACUAUUCUUCGACGCCGAAUCGGUGAAGUGAUGGGAAGUGAGAAUCGUCCUAGUUAUUGUGUUAUGCGUCUUGAAAAUGGAGACAGUAGUAUUGACAAAGGAAGCAGAUCACACUUCUGCAAUCGUUGAUACUCUGAGAUAAGCAUGUGGUGCUCAAACUUGGACUAGUAUUGACAAAGGUUUUGUAGAUGAAGUCCCUGUUCUUCUAGCAAAGCCUCAAACGUAUAUGAACUUGAGUGGUUUUUGUGUUGAACCUCUAAAUUCAAAGGAAGCUGUGAAAUGGUUAUAUGUUGCUUCUUUUCAAAGCCAUGUCCGAGCUCAGUACCAACUUGCGAUUUGCCUGUAUCUGGGUCGUGGUGGAGAUCGUAAAAUGAAAGAAGUGGUAUAAUGAAGAGCGAAGAGGAUGAGAUGAAUGAUCUUGAGGCAUUGUUAAGUAAGAAGACUUAUGAGGAGUUACAGAAGUCGAAAACUAGGGAGUAGCUUUUGGACCUUAUUCAUAGGCUAACUGAAAAGGAGACUGCUGUGGCCAACAAGGAAUGUUUAGUUCGUCUUUUUGAGCUGUCUGAUGGCUGCUUACACAGACAUAGAUGAGG